GUGAACAGGGACUGUACCUUGAUUGUGGAGUCUCCCCUUAGCUGCAGAUUUUUGGUUUGUGUGAGUGAAAAGUUUGUCCCUGUACCCAAGCACUGACAGAUUAGGGAUGCAGGGAUGAGAGGCACAGAGAAAUCACAUUAGAUGUAGAAAUUCACACAAACAGACUCCUCCAAACCCAGCCACCGAUACUGCUACUGUCAAACGGCCCAAAAAGAUCAUGAAAGCCAUUAAAAAGUGACGCCACUGAUGAAAACAGCGGUGAGUUGAAAGGUCGGUUAACACGCACUGCUUCAAGUGCUUCCGAACUUCUGAAAAUUUCACUCCACUGCUACACUUCAAUAUCUCUUUGAAAUGUCAAAAUGAAAUUGUACUUUACAAACAUCUAAAAACAUAUCCUACAAAAUCCUACACUCACCAUAAGAUGUAAACAAUGUACCUUUGUGUAUUUACACUGUAACCUACGAAGGAACGUUCAGGACAUGCUAUUUUCUUACUGAUGAACAUGCAGCUUUUCCCUCUGCUUUAAGUGGUAUGUGACACAUCUCUGCACAAGCCAGCACAAGUUAAUAAAUUCAUGAGGGUGACAACAAAACUGUCUCAAUUCCAGACGUUUGAAGAGUCCGAGUGUUUGGAAACCACUGUGGUUCGAUUGUCCUCGGAGCAGAUGCGCGCGCUGACAGAACAACGGUACUCGCCUCCAAGAUGCCGCCCUUUCUAAUUCUGCUGUAAUGAGUCACUGUUCGCAUUCACUGCAUUUAACCCAAAUUACCACAUCGCACACUGUAAUCGAGACACUCGAGUAACACCCUUUCCCUCUCUGCUUCACCCCUGCACAUAAUCAAUGCUUCGUCCGAAGGAUGGGUCUUAUGCAAGAAUAUGAUCAUCAGUGACUGUACUGCCAAUACAUUCCUCUCACACAAGCAGAGAGACUGCGGCCUGCGACACCAACACCUUCAGACCAAGGCUACUGGCUGGUCGGCUGAACCCUGGACAUAAGUGAUGCUUCGCCAACGUCUGGCCCUACGCGGCGGUCCUAGCCACGGCAGAAAACGCAGCGGUGUUCCGGCUGCUAUCCGUCAGCAGCGUCCGCGGCCGGCGUGGCACGGAGGAGCUUGUUCUUACUGGCGUCCAGGGGCACGAGCAGGUAGACCAUGAGGCUGGCGUAGUGGAUG